rnacentral:rRNA from 1 species
GACGAACGCUGGCGGCGUGCUUAACACAUGCAAGUCGAACGGAAAGGCCCUGCUUUUGUGGGGUGCUCGAGUGGCGAACGGGUGAGUAACACGUGAGUAACCUGCCCUUGACUUUGGGAUAACUUCAGGAAACUGGGGCUAAUACCGGAUAGGAGCUCCUGCUGCAUGGUGGGGGUUGGAAAGUUUCGGCGGUUGGGGAUGGACUCGCGGCUUAUCAGCUUGUUGGUGGGGUAGUGGCUUACCAAGGCUUUGACGGGUAGCCGGCCUGAGAGGGUGACCGGGCUGCUGGGGACGGGGCCAGGGCCGAGCGCGCGCGGGGGGGCAGCGGGGGGGGCGGUAGGUCGGUGGGGGGGGGCCGGAGCGAGGAAGGGGUGGUGGGGGGUGGCGGCCCGGGGUUGGGACGCGGUUGGGGGCGGUGGAGAGGGGUGGGGUGGGGGAAGGGGAAAAGAGGAACCGGCUACCGACGUGCCAGGAGCCGGGAAUAGGCAGAAGAGCCCGCGUCUGCCC